GCCAACUCCAGACGCCGGGUAAGUGUUCAAGAAACCGUGGUUGGUUCUCUCCUUGCGGCCGCCUCUAAGCCCCGGCUCUCGCCCCUUUAAUUCCCAGAUCGGCUGUUACUGGAUCUAGAAGCAGCCUGGUGCCGGCAAAACGGUACCAGGGCACAGUUGUCUACACAAGCAUCGAGGAAACCAAGACCUAUGGUGCAGACCUUCAUCCCCAAGCUACAGGCAGAGAAACUGAGGCCCAGCCCGAGCAGAGGAAGCAAAAUUGAAUUCAAGGUUGUUCCACUGCCAAUACCAAGCCUUUGAGAGGAGGGAAGUGAUGGUGGGCGCAGGACGAAGGCGGGGAGGCCACGUCAGAGACCAAGCAGACUCUCGGCUCUGCCAUCCGAAGGAUUCUCCUCUGAGCUCUCCUCUGCAAUUCCCAACUGGUCACCCGUCUCCCACCCUUCGUGCACUGAUGACAGUCACCCCACAGGAGCCGGAAGGCCAAGACUUGAUCUUCCCGCCAUCCCUUUGUGGCAUCUGGGGGUCCCCGACACCUCACCCAGAGCGCAGAGGCCCAGACGCCCUCUCCUGGGCCACCACAGCUGUAAAACACACUCCCAAGAACCAUCAGCUCCAGGAACCACCACCCACAGACACCCCGUCUCUCCGUCCUCAAGGGUGGCAAUCUUUCAACUCUGCACCACCUCCCGCCCCACCCUCCUAGUCUGGGGAUAGCUCCGCCCCUCCCUGCUCCAUUCAGAUUAACAGCCGGUACUCUGAGUAUGGCCCCUCCUCAUUUGUGGGAUCGCCCCUUCCCUAGGAAUUAGACACAGCUGGGUUCGAGGAAUGAUAAACUUUCCGAGACUGAAAGGACGCUUAAAGUUUAGGUCUUGAGAUUAUGCCACUGCUCAAUAUUAAAGCGGCCCAGAGCAAACUUGCCGAGGAGCCUAAUAAAAAUUGAUCCUCUCUGCUCUGCAGCAGUUGGGAAAUAGGCUGGCUGAGCCGGGUAAUAGUGGAAGAAGGCUCCCUCCGAAAUGACAGAUGAAGUCAUAAACAAGUUUGAUCUUGGAAUCAAGCUUCGAUAAAUAUUAAACACAGUCUGCCCCCCCACCUUUACGGGAGUGGAUUAUGAUAUAUGGCGCGUCCAAACUUUAAAAUAAGG